UUAAAUUGAAGAGUUUGAUCAUGGCUCAGAUUGAACGCUGGCGGCAGGCCUAACACAUGCAAGUCGAACGGUAACAGGAAGAAGCUUGCUUCUUUGCUGACGAGUGGCGGACGGGUGAGUAAUGUCUGGGAAACUGCCUGAUGGAGGGGGAUAACUACUGGAAACGGUAGCUAAUACCGCAUAACGUCGCAAGACCAAAGAGGGGGACCUUCGGGCCUCUUGCCAUCGGAUGUGCCCAGAUGGGAUUAGCUAGUAGGUGGGGUAACGGCUCACCUAGGCGACGAUCCCUAG
rnacentral:rRNA from 1 species